rnacentral:rRNA from 1 species
AUGGGGAGGAUUGGGGGAAUCCGGGGGAAAGGGGCCCCUGGACAAAGAUGCGUCAGGUGCGAAAACGGGGGGAGCAAACCGGAUUAGAUACCCUGGUGUUCCACGCGUUAAAGAUGUCGACUUGGAGGUUGUUCCUUGAGGAGUGGCUUCCGGAGUAACGCGUUAAGUCGACCGCGGGGGAGGGAGGGCGCAAGUUAAAACUCAAAUGAAUUGACGGGGCCCCCACAAGCGGUGGAGCAUGUGGUUUAAUUCGAUCAACGGAAGAACCUUACCUACUCUUGACAUCCAAGGAAUUUGGCAGAGAGCCUUAGUGCCUUUGGGAACCGUGGGACAGGUGCUCCAUGGCUGUCUUCAGCUCGUGUUGUGAAAAGUUGGGUUAAGUCCCGCAACGAGCGCAACCCUUAUCCUUUGUUGCCAGCGAUUCGGUCGGGAACUCAAAGGAGACUGCCGGUGAUAAACCGGAGGAAGGUGGGGAUGACGUCAAGUCAUCAUGGCCCUUACGAGUAGGGCUACACACGUGCUACAAUGGCGCAUACAAAGAGAAGGGACCUCGCGAGAGCAAGCGGACCUCACAAAGUGCGUCGUAGUCCGGAUCGGAGUCUGCAACUCGACUCCGUGAAGUCGGAAUCGCUAGUAAUCGUGGAUCAGAAUGCCACGGUGAAUACGUUCCCGGGCCUUGUACACACCGCCCGUCACACCAUGGGAGUGGGCUGGAAAAGAAGUAAGUAGCUUUGCUCCCGGGGGGGAAAGAACCCCGUUGUUAGUCCUCACNGGGNGNG